CUUACAAGGAAAUUUUUCCAUAUUGAGUCUCCUAGAUGUGUGCUAUGUGAUGAUGAACCAAAGGAAUUCCUUACUCAUCUGUUCUUUAGUUGUGAUUUCAGCCAGAACUUCUGGAUGUCCAUUGGAUUUCAAUGGAAUACUGACUAUGAGCUUUUGGACAUGCUCAUGGAGGGACAGAGACACAAUCAUGUUGUAUGUUACAAGGCGUGCCUCAUUGUAGGCUGUUGGAGUAUUUGGAAGCACAGAAACAACACCAUCUUUGAUCACAAACCCAAAAAUAUGCAGUAAUGCAUGAGUACUUUCAAGGAGCACUUUGAGAUGGUCAUCAAAAAAGCCAAACCAAGUUCGAAGGAAGGGAUGCAAAGUUGGUUAGACUACUUGUAG
rnacentral:rRNA from 1 species